GUCCCAUUUGCACAGUGGUUGUGCUGCCGGUUAAUGUGUCACUUCUUGGGACUCUUGUCCCGGUGUUGGCCUGGUUCGAAUCCGGCAUGGGACU